CCUACGGGAGGCAGCAGUGAGGAAUAUUGGUCAAUGGACGCAAGUCUGAACCAGCCAUGCCGCGUGCAGGAAGACGGCUCUAUGAGUUGUAAACUGCUUUUGUACGAGGGUAAAUCCCGAUACGUGUACCGGGUUGAAAGUAUCGUACGAAUAAGGAUCGGCUAACUCCGUGCCAGCAGCCGCGGUAAUACGGAGGAUUCAAGCGUAAUCCGGAUUUAUUGGGUUUAAAGGGUGCGUAGGCGGUUCGAUAAGUUAGCGGUGAAAUCGCGGGGCUCAACUCCGGCCCUGCGUGGGAUGCUGUCCGGAUAGAGGUUAUUUGCGGUAGGCGGAAGGUAUGGUGUAGCGGUGAAAUGCAUAGAGUUCAUACAGAAGACCGAUUGCGAAGGCAGCUUACCAAACUACAACGGACGUUGAGGCACGAAAGCGUGGGGAGCAAACAGGAUUAGAUACCCUUGUAGUC
rnacentral:rRNA from 1 species